rnacentral:rRNA from 1 species
AGUGAACGCUGGCGGUAGGCCUAACACAUGCAAGUCGAACGGCAGCACAGUAAGAGCUUGCUCUUACGGGUGGCGAGUGGCGGACGGGUGAGGAAUACAUCGGAAUCUACUUUUUCGUGGGGGAUAACGUAGGGAAACUUACGCUAAUACCGCAUACGACCUACGGGUGAAAGCAGGGGAUCUUCGGACCUUGCGCGAUUGAAUGAGCCGAUGUCGGAUUAGCUAGUUGGCGGGGUAAAGGCCCACCAAGGCGACGAUCCGUAGCUGGUCUGAGAGGAUGGUCAGCCACACUGGAACUGAGACACGGUCCAGACUCCUACGGGAGGCAGCAGUGGGGAAUAUUGGACAAAGGGCGCAAGCCUGAUCCAGCCAUACCGCGUGGGUGAAGAAGGCCUUCGGGUUGUAAAGCCCUUUUGUUGGGAAAGAAAAGCAGCAGGUUAAUACCCCGCUGUUCUGACGGUACCCAAAGAAUAAGCACCGGCUAACUUCGUG